AACCAUCAAUGAGGACCUUUCUUUCCGGAGAGAUGCUUUCUUGUUGGGAUGUGGAGUGUGCUGGCUUGUUCAGCUCCUCUGAAAUGCAUUAGCGAUGUUGUGUUCCACAUGCUUGAGCUUGCAUUGGCAUUGAUAGUCAUUCAUGUCAGAGUAGUUCAGCUGUGGAAAGGUUCACUUGCUCCUAAUUGCGAUGAACUCUCUCUAUCCUUUGACCC
rnacentral:misc_RNA from 1 species